ACUCACUAAGAGAUAGACAAGCUCUGUUCUUUUCCGAGAGCUUGCUUGGGAGAAUAUUUUUAAGGGACAUGUCACACUGCAAUUUAAUGGCACAUGGUGUAGUUUCUCAUUCUCUAAUGCUGUCAGUCAUGUUUGUGCAGACUAUGGUAGAGGAUAUAUUUUAUUUUCUACCUGGUCUGAGAGCAUGCUCCCUGUCCUCUACUGUGGUCCACGUGGCCAUGCUACAAAAGGGAGGUAAGCAGGCACACAAGUGGUGGAGAGGGGGGAAGAGACCACAAAGAGGCUGGAG